GACGGAGGAUGCAAGCGUUAUCCGGAAUUAUUGGGCGUAAAGCGUCCGCAGGUGGCGCCUCAAGUCUGCUGUCAAAGACCGGGGCUUAACCCCAGAAAGGCAGUGGAAACUGAAGUGCUAGAGUGCAGUAGGGGUAGAGGGAAUUCCCGGUGUAGCGGUGAAAUGCGUAGAGAUCGGGAAGAACAUCGGUGGCGAAAGCGCUCUGCGUGGACUGCAACUGACACUCAGGGACGAAAGCUAGGGGAGCGAACAGG
rnacentral:rRNA from 1 species